AACUGAUACUACCUGCGGGAACCUGCGGAAGGAUCAUUACAGGACUCGCAAGACUCCUACAACCCUGUGAACUUAACUAUAAGCACGUUGCUUCGGCGGGUGUCUCGGCGAGGGUUCUCCCUCCCCGGGGCGCUAAGCCCGCCGGCAGCCUACUAUACUCUGUCUCUUUGCGUUGGCAUCUCGAGUACAAACAAACAAGUUAAAACUUUCAACAAUGGAUCUCUAGAUCGGAAGAGCACA
rnacentral:misc_RNA from 1 species